rnacentral:rRNA from 1 species
UACGUAGGGGGCAAGCGUUGUCCGGAAUCAUUGGGCGUAAAGCGCGCGUAGGCGGCCCUGUAAGUCCGUUGUGAAAGUCAAAGGCUCAACCUUUGAAAGCCGAUGGAUACUGCAGGGCUAGAGUCCGGAAGAGGCGAGUGGAAUUCCUGGUGUAGCGGUGGAAUGCGCAGAUAUCAGGAGGAACACCGGUGGCGAAGGCGCCACUCUGGGCCGAAACUGACGCUGAGGAGCGAAAGCGUGGGUAGCAAACAGG